UGCAGUCGAGCGGUAACAGGAAUUAGCUUGCUAAUUUGCUGACGAGCGGCGGACGGGUGAGUAAUGCCUGGGAAUAUGCCUUAGUGUGGGGGAUAACUAUUGGAAACGAUAGCUAAUACCGCAUAACGUCUUCGGACCAAAGAGGGGGACCUUCGGGCCUCUCGCGCUAAGAUUAGCCCAGGUGGGAUUAGCUAGUUGGUGAGGUAAAGGCUCACCAAGGCAACGAUCCCUAGCUGGUCUGAGAGGAUGAUCAGCCACACUAGAACUGAGACACGGUCCAGACUCCUACGGGAGGCAGCAGUGGGGAAUAUUGCACAAUGGGGGGAACCCUGAUGCAGCCAUGCCGCGUGUAUGAAGAAGGCCUUCGGGUUGUAAAGUACUUUCAGUCGUGAGGAAGGCAUUGUAGUUAAUAGCUGCAGUGCUUGACGUUAGCGACAGAAGAAGCACCGGCUAACUCCGUGCCAGCAGCCGCGGUAAUACGGAGGGUGCGAGCGUUAAUCGGAAUUACUGGGCGUAAAGCGCAUGCAGGCGGUCUGUUAAGCAAGAUGUGAAAGCCCGGGGCUCAACCUCGGAACCGCAUUUUGAACUGGCAGACUAGAGUCUUGUAGAGGGGGGUAGAAUUUCAGGUGUAGCGGUGAAAUGCGUAGAGAUCUGAAGGAACAUCAGUGGCGAAGGCGACUCACUGGUCCAUUACUGACGCUGAGGUGCGAAAGCGUGGGUAGCAAACAGGAUUAGAUACCCUGGUAGUCCACGCCCUAAACGAUGUCAACUAGGUGUAUGUGCAGUCGAGUGCAGUCGAGUCGAAGCUA
rnacentral:rRNA from 1 species